GGGCUCACACAAGCGGUGGAGCAUGUGGUUCAAUUCGAAGCAACGCGCAGAACCUUACCUGGGCUUGACAUGCUAGGAUUAUCUCUGUGAAAGCAGAGUAGGCCCUUCGGGGUACAACUAGUACAGGUGCUGCAUGGCUGUCGUCAGCUCGUGUCGUGAGAUGUCGGGUUAAGUCCCUUAACGAGCGAAACCUUUGCCCUUAGUUACCAGCGAGUAAAGUCGGGGACUCUAAGGGGACUGCCGGUGUCAAACCGGAGGAAGGUGGAGAUGACGUCAAGUCCUCAUGGCCUUUAUGCCCAGGGCCACACACGUGCUACAAUGGGGUGCACAGAGCGAACCGAGACCGCAAGGUGGAGGAAAUCGCAUAAAUCACCCCCCAGUUCAGAUCGGAGGCUGCAACUCGCCUCCGUGAAGUUGGAAUCGCUAGUAAUCGCGGAUCAGCUACGCCGCGGUGAAUGUGUUCCUGAGCCUU
rnacentral:rRNA from 1 species